UACGGAGGGUGCAAGCGUUAUCCGGAUUCACUGGGUUUAAAGGGUGCGUAGGUGGGUCUGUAAGUCAGUGGUGAAAUCUCCGGGCUUAACCCGUAAACUGCCAUUGAUACUACAGGUCUUGAAUUUUCAGGAGGUAAGCGGAAUAUGUCAUGUAGCGGUGAAAUGCUUAGAUAUGACAUAGAACACCAAUUGCGAAGGCAGCUUACUACAGGAACAUUGACACUGAGGCACGAAAGCGUGGGGAUCAAACAGG
rnacentral:rRNA from 1 species